rnacentral:misc_RNA from 1 species
GGAAAGCAUCAAACAAUAUGGCAAUGCAGUCACUAAAGGGAAGCAGCGAUACACAUUUGAGUGCACUGUCCAAACAUUUGCAUUCAACUAAUGGUGAUAUUAGCUGGCAUACAUCCGAGAAGCAUGAGGAAAGGAUGAGGGAGAGCUUGCUGUUACCAUCACUGCUGGUUCCUGAGAGAAAAAGAACACGAAAUAUUGGGUCUAAAAGUAAGAGGCUUUUAAUUGAUAGCCUAGAUUCUCUGGAGCUCAAACUCACAUGGGAAGAGGCACAGGAUUUGCUCCGUCCACCACCAAGUGUCAAGCCUAGCAUUGUCACUAUUGAGGAUCAUGAUUUUGAAGAAUAUGAAGAACCUCCAGUUUUUGGGAAGAGAACUAUCUUUGUAGUUCGUUCAAUUGGGGGACAAGAGCAANNNNNNNNNNNUGUAAGUGGCGAAGGUUGCCGGUUGAUGUUCUUCUUCCUCCUAAGUGGACUUGUGUGGACAAUGCUUGGGAUCAAAGCAGGUGUUCAUGUUCGGCUCCUGAUGAAUUGAGCCCAAGGGAAUUGGAACAUCUUCUCAGACUCAAUAAGGAGUUCAAGAAACGAAGAAUGUUAAGUAUCCAUAGGCCAGCCCAGGAACACAAGUCUUCUGGCCUGGAUGCUUUAGCUAAUGCUGCAAUCC